rnacentral:rRNA from 1 species
AUUGAACGCUGGCGGCAUGCCUAACACAUGCAAGUCGAACGGCAGCACAGAUAUAGUUUACUAUAUUGGGUGGCGAGUGGCGGACGGGUGAGUAACGCGUGGGUAUAUAACCUAAAGACGGGGACAACUUGCGGAAACGCGAGCUAAUACCGGAUAAGCUCUGAGGAGAAAAGCUGGGGAUCUGGCGACAGACCUGGCGCUUUAGGAGUAACCUGCGUCCAAUUAGCUAGUUGGUAGGGUAAAGGCCUACCAAGGCGACGAUUGGUAGCUGGUCUGAGAGGACGGACAGCCACACUGGGACUGAGACACGGCCCAGACUCCUACGGGAGGCAGCAGUGGGGAAUAUUGGACAAUGGGCGAAAGCCUGAUCCAGCAAUGCCGCGUGUGUGAAGAAGGCCUGAGGGUUGUAAAGCACUUUCGGCCGGGAAGAAAUACGUGGUCUCUAACAUAGGCCAUGGAUGACGGUACCGGACUAAGAAGCACCGGCUAACUACGUG